GACGAACGCUGGCGGCGUGCUUAACACAUGCAAGUCGAACGGAAAGGCCCUGCUUUUGUGGGGUGCUCGAGUGGCGAACGGGUGAGUAACACGUGAGUAACCUGCCCUUGACUUUGGGAUAACUUCAGGAAACUGGGGCUAAUACCGGAUAGGAGCUCCUGCUGCAUGGUGGGGGUUGGAAAGUUUCGGCGGUUGGGGAUGGACUCGCGGCUUAUCAGCUUGUUGGUGGGGUAGUGGCUUACCAAGGCUUUGACGGGUAGCCGGCCUGAGAGGGUGACCGGCCACAUUGGGACUGAGAUACGGCCCAGACUCCUACGGGAGGCAGCGGUGGGGAGUAUUGCACAAUGGGCGGAAGCCUGGUGCGGCAACGCCGCGUGCGGGAUGACGGCCUUCGGGUUGUGAACCGCUUUCGCCUGUGACGAAGCGUGAGUGACGGUAAUGGGUAAAGAAGCACCGGCUAACUACGUG
rnacentral:rRNA from 1 species